rnacentral:rRNA from 1 species
AGAGUUUGAUCCUGGCUCAGGAUGAACGCUAGCUACAGGCUUAACACAUGCAAGUCGAGGGGCAGCAUGGUCUUAGCUUGCUAAGACCGAUGGCGACCGGCGCACGGGUGAGUAACGCGUAUCCAACCUGCCUUACACUCUUGGACAGCCUUCUGAAAGGGAGAUUAAUACAAGAUGUUAUCAUGAGUAAGCAUUUUCACAUGAUUAAAGGUUACCGGUGUAAGAUGGGGAUGCGUUCCAUUAGAUAGUAGGCGGGGUAACGGCCACCUAGUCUUCGAUGGAUAGGGGUUCCGAGAGGAAGGUCCCCCANAUUGGAACUGAGACACGGUCCAAACUCCUACGGGAGCA